AUUGAACGCUGGCGGCAUGCCUUACACAUGCAAGUCGAACGGCAGCACGGGAGCAAUCCUGGUGGCGAGUGGCGAACGGGUGAGUAAUAUAUCGGAACGUGCCCAGUCGUGGGGGAUAACGUAGCGAAAGCUACGCUAAUACCGCAUACGAUCUAUGGAUGAAAGCGGGGGAUCGCAAGCCCUCGCGCGAUUGGAGCGGCCGAUAGCAGAUGAGGUAGUUGGUGAGGUAAAGGCCCACCAAGCCGACGAUCUGUAGCUGGUCUGAGAGGACGACCAGCCACACUGGGACGGAGACACGGCCCAGACUCCUACGGGAGGCAGCAGUGGGGAAUUUUGGACAAUGGGCACAAGCCUGAUCCAGCAAUGCCGCGUGCAGGAUGAAGGCCUUCGGGUUGUAAACUGCUUUUGUACGGAACGAAACGGCGAGCUCUAAUACAGUUUGCUAAUGACGGUACCGUAAGAAUAAGCACCGGCUAACUACGUGCCAGCAGCCGCCGUAA
rnacentral:rRNA from 1 species